rnacentral:lncRNA from 1 species
GAGUAAGCCUAAUUGUUGCAAGCAAGUUAAAUCGGGGUACCUGGUGGGAGCGACGCCUCGCUGCUGGAAGCGCUCGAAUUGCUCUUGCUGAUAGUUGUCAUCUCCGGAUCGGAAGAUGAUAUUUCCGAAAUUUUGAUUUCCCGCCAUUGUGAUGAAUUUUUGAAGGGAUGAUUUGGAAAGAAAAAGAAAUGUAUUUGAUAUGAG